GGAGAGGUGUCCGAGUGGCCGAAGGAGCACGCUUGGAAAGCGUGUGUACGGCAACGUACCGAGGGUUCGAAUCCCUCCCUCUCCGCCA
rnacentral:tRNA from 1 species